rnacentral:rRNA from 1 species
CAGUAGCCGCGGUAACACGGAGGGUGCAAGCGUUAAUCGGAAUUACUGGGCGUAAAGCGCACGCAGGCGGUCUGACAAGUCAGAUGUGAAAUCCCCGGGCUUAACCUGGGAACUGCAUUUGAAACUGUCAGGCUGGAGUCUUGUAGAGGGGGGUGGAAUUCCAGGUGUAGCGGUGAAAUGCGUAGAGAUCUGGAGGAAUACCGGUGGCGAAGGCGGCCCCCUGGACAAAGACUGACGCUCAGGUGCGAAAGCGUGGGGAGCAAACAGGAUUAGAGACCCGGGUAGUCCCUGUCUCUUAUAC